rnacentral:lncRNA from 1 species
UUAAAGAAAAAAAUACCUACCUCAUAGGGUUUUUGUAAAGACUGAAUAAUAGAAUGUAUGGUAAGCAUAUACCAUGAAUGGAACAUAAUCAGCACUUAUAUAGUAACCAUUAUUGUGCUUGUUAUUAUUCACAAAGUGAUAUUACUUGCCAUUAAUGACUUUGGAAAUGGAGGGUUCAAACAAAGAACAAGAUGUUGAAUGGCAUAGGCAACCAGUACCUUUAGAAAUAAUAGGAAAGUUAGUUACUGCUAUACUGCACUAGCCCUUGAAAAAAAUGUGUAGUGUUUAAAGAAAUUGCCUGCUAAACUUCUGUAUGGCUUCAGUAAAAAAAAUUAUGUUCCAUUUUCACAGCAUGAAAGAAGCAGUUAAAGCAAGAAAAGUGCAUUUAGAAGUUUGAAGAGUGCAAGUGUCUGAUGGGUUGAGAAAUGAGAUUAACCCUUCACUGACUAGUGCUCCAUUUUCUGUCAGAGUAAAUUCUUUAGGAAAAAAGUGUUAUGAUGGCUCAUGGGAGCAAAAUAGUGACAGUGUCCUCUUGGUUGUUUUAUUUCACCCUGAGGUCCAUUGUUUUGUCAAAAGAAGCUACCUUUCCUAGUCAAUCUGCUUUUUGGUAAGAUUUUUCUUAAAGUAUGCAGUUGACAUAAUUAAGUGUGGUUUUGAGGUUACCUUGUAUAUUCCAAGGUGAGACCUCCAUAGGAUCUAAUUAUUUUUUUUUCAUUGAAAAGAUGUUUCACAGACAGAAGCUAUAGAUCAAGACUCAUUACAAAGGUAUCUCAUUAUUUUUAAUGAGCAAUUCCAUUAUUUCUGACUCUGCUGAGAGCAGGACAUAAUUCUGUUAAGGAGAGAAUCUUGUUAAAAUUUCUUAGUCAGAAACAUAGAGCUUCCAGUCAAACUCUGCAGUCCCGAAUACUAAGUUUAAAGACAUAAUACUAUAUGUCUAUGUGGGCUUCACAAAGGUGUGAUGAUAUAGGGAGCAUACUUCCUUUGAAGAAAUAAUUAGAUAUUGUGUGAUUCAGUGUUAUUUAUAGGUCUUUGAAAUUCUAAAAAUGAGCAAUUUUUAGCAAACAUUCUUAGUAUUUAAAUUCAUUGAACUAGUCAAAAAUUAAUCAUCUGAUAACCCAAAGAUUUUGUUUGGGGUCUUAGAAAUCCUUAUUUUCUUCCUGACUUUUGGGAUCUAUCUCUUGUUAAAAUUUAGAUAUGUAAUGAGUUCAUCUAAAAAUUUAUGGAACAAGAUCAGUAAAAGGAAAGAAAGAAAGGGGGUCAUAUAUUUUUAGGGCAGGGGAAAGAAUGAUUUACAGAAGAGAAGAAGAUAAAACUGAACAGAGAAGGGAAAAAUAAUGUUCACAUAAAUUGCUUAUCACUGAUACCCUGAAAGUGAACCAUCUUGUAGUAAAUACCUCCAAUCUAUUGUUCCCAUAGCCUACAAAAGGAGAAAGGAACCCAAGUGUAAUUCAACACUUGUUAUUGUAUUAUGCUUAGUGAUAAGGAUAUGUGGGAAAUAAGCAAAUAUUUCUGUUUAAAAUUAUAGAGUGUGUUUGUACGUGGACGUGAGUGGUGCGGGAUGUGUGUGGUGCAGGAGACUCUAUGAAGAAGAAUAGUAGGAAUGAGUAGGUGAGAAUGUAGUAAUUAUAAUUAUAAUAGAGAAGAAAGGCAUACAAGCUGUUUCAUGAUAGCUUAAUUCCAUUUGUAUUUUGCAAACAGAAUGAUGCCCUCCAAAGGUAAAGGUUUU